UACCAUGGUGGUAACGGGUAACGGGGUGUUAGGGCACGACACCGGAGAGGGAGCCUGAGAAACGGCUACCACAUCCAAGGAAGGCAGCAGGCGCGCAAAUUACCCAAUCCCGACACGGGGAGGUAGUGACAAUAAAUAACAAUACAGGGCUCUUUUGGGUCUUGUAAUUGGAAUGAGUACAAUUUAAAUCUCUUAACGAGGAACAAUUGGAGGGCAAGUCUGGUGCCAGCAGCCGCGGUAAUUCCAGCUCCAAUAGCGUAUAUUAAAGUUGUUGCAGUUAAAAAGCUCGUAGUUGAAUUUCGGAAUCAAUAUGUCGGUCGUGCUUCGGUACGUACUGGUAUCAUUGGUUUCUCCUUUCUGACGAACCAUGAUGUCAUUAAUUUGGUGUUACGGGGAGUUAGGACUGUUACUUUGAAAAAAUUAGAGUGUUUAAAGCAGGCUUUAGCUUGAAUACAUUAGCAUGGAAUAAUGAAAUAGGACGUUCGAACCUAUUUUGUUGGUUUCUAGGAUCAACGUAAUGAUUAAUAGGGAUAGUUGGGGGCAUUAGUAUUCAAUUGUCAGAGGUGAAAUUCUUGGAUUUAUUGAAGACUAACUACUGCGAAAGCAUUUGCCAAGGAUGUUUUCAUUAAUCAAGAACGAAAGUUAGGGGAUCGAAGACGAUCAGAUACCGUCGUAGUCUUAACCAUAAACUAUGCCGACUAGGGAUCGGAUGAUGUUAAUUUUUUAAUGACUCAUUCGGCGCCUUACGGGAAACCAAAGUGUUU
rnacentral:rRNA from 1 species